rnacentral:rRNA from 1 species
AUGUCUCAUGACAUGGACUAUACCAGUCAGGCAAUCAAUGAACUAGCUGAGAAGAAGAAACAACUUGAGGAUCAGGCAAAGAUUGAGUUAAGUAUGGAAAAGCUGAAGCUUGCCAAGGAGCAAAGGUGCAUUCUUCAAAGCCAAGCAGAGAUCAUUCAAAACAUGAGGAAGGCCAUGAAGGAAGUGGAGGGGGACAGGGACCUACUUAAGCAAGAGAAGAAGUUAGAGUAUCUUAUUGCUGAUCUGCUCAAUGCUGGGCAUGACAGCAAAGCUAAGCUGGAGAGGAUCAAGGCAAUUAUGAAUGAGUGA